rnacentral:rRNA from 1 species
UACGGAGGGAGCUAGCGUUGUUCGGAAUUACUGGGCGUAAAGCGCACGUAGGCGGCUUUGUAAGUUAGAGGUGAAAGCCCGGGGCUCAACUCCGGAAUUGCCUUUAAGACUGCAUCGCUUGAAUCCGGGAGAGGUGAGUGGAAUUCCGGAGUGUAGAGGUGAAAUUCGUAGAUAUUGGGAAGAACACCGGUGGCGAAGGCGGCUCUCUGGCCCGCAACUGACGCUGAGGCGCGAAAGCGUGGGGAGCAAACAGG